GAGACACCCUUCUGGGGCAAGACUUGCUUCAGUGGGGCUUUGGUGCUCACUGAGUCUGCCCCCUGAGUGUGUCAUU
rfam:Myotis lucifugus cont2.8540, whole genome shotgun sequence.